ensembl:lncRNA
UGUGAUAAAAUAACUUUUUAUUUCACAAGAAUAUGACCAGAAGAGUAAUAAACCAGCUUAUAUUGUACACAAAAGCAGAAUAUACUAUACAUACAUUUCUCAUGAUCUUUGUUUUUAAGAGUUUAUCAUCACACACAUCAUAUCAUAUCAGGCCAUUACACAAAAAGAAACCAUUCUAGACAAAACAUUUAACGCUGACGACACUAAAGAUACUUUCUGUCGAAUGCGAACUGAAUGGAUUUGACACAACAUCGCCAUAAUCAAAUGCUGUUUCACAUCAAUCUUAAUGUUUUUUUGUUUGUUUAGUUUUAGAUUGGCACAGCGCCACCUACCCUACAUAAACAGCAUAAGACGCCAAAAGGAGCUCUAAAGUCACGCUUCAAAUCAAGUAAAAACAGGCAUGCAGUUUCAUUGUCCUGAUCCGCAUUUGGAAAAUGAGAUAAGUCGCAUUCUUGUUGUUCCAGAGAAACAGCCGUGUGUGUGUGUGUGCAGAAGCAUGACGUGGUGUUUUUGCACUUUGUUGUAGAAUGAAUACACACCAGACUCAUAUCUAGGAGUCAUACAUUAUAUAUAUAUAGAGGAUCUUGAAGUUUACUACAGAUGGUUUUUAGGUAAGAUGUUAGAAGGUAAGAUAUUAUUAUUAUUAUUCCUUUCUCUAGCAUGCUAUUUGAAUAAUUUUGAGUUCAUUAAAGUAUUUUAUUUCCUAUAUCUUAUUAACAUUAUUGUGGGGCAGUGGUGGCUCGGCGGUUAAGGCUCUGGGUUACUGAUCGGAAGGUCGGGGUUCAAGCCCCAGCACUGCCAAGCUGCCACUGUUGGGCCCUUGAGCAAGGCCCUUAACCCUCUCUGCUCCAGGGGUGCUGUGUCAUGGCUGACCCUGCGUUCUGACCCCAGCUUCCUGACAUGCUGGGAUAUGCUUUGCUUCUACUACUGUCUGACAUCCACCUAAAAUAUAAUCACACCUAUAACGCAGUGAUUUUCUUCUGAAUAUUUCUUCAUCCCCUAGAAAUGAAUUCCUUCACUAGGCCUCUGACACACACACACACACACACACACACACAAAGGAAUUCCCUCCACAUUCCUGUAAGUAGAGGUACAAAUAAUAUGUAAUAUGUACAGUAAUGAGGUUUAAACAAGGCAUGAAGUUUACUUCUGAGUAUUCCACAGCACUGAGCAGUGAUGAAGGUUAAAAGCGGCUCCUCGCCAUCAUUUUGAGACGUACUAUCAUAUCACGCUAGAUUUUGCAUGCAUGAAUUUUGGUAGAGGCUUUUAUCCGACGCGCAAGCACAUCCUUGUUUCCUUUCCAUGCUUCACACUCACUCACUCACUCACUCACUCUCUCUCUCUCUCUCUCUCUCUCUCUCUCUCUCUCUCUCUCUCUCUCUCUCUCUCUCUCUCUUCUUGAUCAGAUGUUUUGCUACACAAGCCAUCCUGGAUGAUGGCUUAUGAAGUGUGAAUUUAAAGCCUAGCACGUCUGACUGCAGACAACGAGGAAGUGGUGGCUCAGCAGUUACGGAUCAGAAUAAUGCGAGUUCAAAUCCCAGAACUGCUAGAUCAUGUGCUCUGAGCCUGGCUUGUAAACAAGCUGGGACAUGUGAGGAAAGGAGUAUUUGUUAAUUUUCUGUAAUUACAGCUCUGACAGUAGUGCUGACUGGAAUUCAAAUCUCAGGUUUAUGUUAACACACUCGCUCUAAUAUGAUGUUUCUUUAAGGACUUGUAUGUUGGAUGCAACACAUAAUCUAAACCUAUAAUAAACGGAUAAAAAAAAGUAUUUUUGAACCCCCCCAAAAAAUGAUAAUUGGUUAUGUGGUGAAGGAG